rnacentral:rRNA from 1 species
CAGCCGCCGCGGGAAUACGAAGGGCGCAAGCGUUACUCGGAAUUACUGGGCGUAAAGCGUGCGUAGGUGGUGGUUUAAGUCCGUUGUGAAAGCCCUGGGCUCAACCUGGGAAUUGCAGUGGAUACUGGGUCACUAGAGUGUGGUAGAGGAUAGUGGAAUUUCCGGUGUAGCAGUGAAAUGCGUAGAGAUCGGAAGGAACAUCUGUGGCGAAGGCGACUAUCUGGGCCAACACUGACACUGAGGCACGAAAGCGUGGGGAGCAAACAGGAUUAGAUACCCCGGUAGUCCCUGUCUCUUAUAC